GGGCUUGACAUCCCACGAACCUGCCUGAAAGGGCGGGGUGCCCGCAAGGGAGCGUGGAGACAGGUGGUGCAUGGCUGUCGUCAGCUCGUGUCGUGAGAUGUUGGGUUAAGUCCCGCAACGAGCGCAACCCUUACCCCUAGUUGCCACCGGGUAACGCCGAGCACUCGAGGGGAACUGCCAGCGUCAAGCUGGAGGAAGGCGGGGAUGACGUCAAGUCAUCAUGCCCCUUACGCCCUGGGCUACACACGUGCUACAAUGGUUAGUACAAAGGGAUGCGAGACCGCGAGGUGGAGCCAAUCCCAAAAAGCUGGCCUAAGUUCAGAUUGCAGUCUGCAACUCGACUGCAUGAAGGAGGAAUCGCUAGUAAUCGCGCAUCAGCACGGCGCGGUGAAUACGUUCCCGGGCCUUGUACACACCGCCCGUCACACCACGAAAGCUGGCUGUACUCGAAGUCGCUGAG
rnacentral:rRNA from 1 species